AUUGAACGCUGGCGGCAGGCCUAACACAUGCAAGUCGAGCGAGCGGCGGGCGGGUGAGACAUAUCUGGGAAUUGCCCAAUCGAGGGGGAUAACCGAUGCACACGUCUGCUAAUACCACAUACGAUUGGCUUGCCCAGGUGGGAUUGGCUAGUGGGUGGGGUAAUGGCUCACCAAGGAGACGAUCCCUAGCUGGUCUGAGAGGAUGAUCAGCCACACUGGAACUUAGACACGGUCCAGACUCCUACGGGAGGCAGCAGUGGGGAAUAUUGCACAAUGGGCGAAAGCCUGAUGCAGCCAUGCCGCGUGCGUGAAGAAGGCCUGCGGGUAGGAAAGAAAGUGCUGCGAGGAGGCGUUACUCGCAGAAGAAGCACCGGCUGACGCCGUGCCAGCCGCCGCGGUAAUAC
rnacentral:rRNA from 1 species